rnacentral:rRNA from 1 species
UACGUAGGGGGCAAGCGUUGUCCGGAUUUAUUGGGCGUAAAGAGCUCGUAGGCGGCUUGUCACGUCGGAUGUGAAAGCCCGGGGCUUAACCCCGGGUCUGCAUUCGAUACGGGCUAGCUAGAGUGUGGUAGGGGAGAUCGGAAUUCCUGGUGUAGCGGUGAAAUGCGCAGAUAUCAGGAGGAACACCGGUGGCGAAGGCGGGUCUCUGGGGCAUAACUGACGCUGAGGAGCGAAAGCAUGGGGAGCGAACAGG